rnacentral:rRNA from 1 species
CCUACGGGAGGCAGCAGUGGGGAAUCUUGCGCAAUGGGCGAAAGCCUGACGCAGCCAUGCCGCGUGAAUGAUGAAGGUCUUAGGAUUGUAAAAUUCUUUCACCGAGGACGAUAAUGACGGUACUCGGAGAAGAAGCCCCGGCUAACUUCGUGCCAGCAGCCGCGGUAAUACGAAGGGGGCUAGCGUUGCUCGGAAUUACUGGGCGUAAAGGGAGCGUAGGCGGAUAGUUUAGUCAGAGGUGAAAGCCCAGGGCUCAACCUUGGAAUUGCCUUUGAUACUGGCUAUCUUGAGUACGGAAGAGGUAUGUGGAACUCCGAGUGUAGAGGUGAAAUUCGUAGAUAUUCGGAAGAACACCAGUGGCGAAGGCGACAUACUGGUCCGUUACUGACGCUGAGGCUCGAAAGCGUGGGGAGCAAACAGGAUUAGAUACCCUGGUAGUCCACGCUGUAAACGAUGAGUGCUAGUUGUCGGCAUGCAUGCAUGUCGGUGACGCAGCUAACGCAUUAAGCACUCCGCCUGGGGAGUACGGUCGCAAGAUUAAAACUCAAAUGAAUUGACGG